GGAUAGCUCAGUUGGUUAGAGCGUGGCGCUGAUCAUGCCAAGGCUGCAGGUUCGAUCCCCGUAUGGGGCAGCUACA